CCAGCGCCGACUGAAUGAGCUGCUAUCAAAUAUCCUUCGACAGCCAUGCAUGCUUGCUCUCAGCGCGUGCGUCACAGCUGCAUUAGACACGCCCCUUCCAAACGCUUGUUGAAUAGGCAUGACAAGGAAACAUGACAAGCGCUAAAGAUGAAUCUCAUAUACUGUUAUAACCGCACGCAUCCCUUCGCCAUUUGAAUGCCGCUGUACACCUGACCGGAGCCACGGGGAAAGCCGCUUGGGACCCAGCCAAAAAUUACAACUGAAAGCAGAAACCCAGCCCUGCUGCGAUUACGCACCGAGAGAGGGAGCACGCUGAUAGUGACAGCGGCACUUCAACAACUAAACUCCUCUGUGAUCAACCGUGCGAUACUUGAUCCGUUUUCUGCCGUGCACCCUCAGAGGAUGUAGACCCCGGCCUGCCGUCUCUGACAUGUCGCCAGUGGCUCGUUUGAACAGGCAAUGCCUUCCUCGCGCGUUUUGUGGCGCAAACUACAGCAAGCGCACGCGCGCGCCAGCGAUUCGUUGCUUUACUUGUCUAUACGUGUGUUGGUAGUUUAAAAUGCCUAGGUUUUUGUUUUAAAUACUUUUGUACGGACGGAAAAGAGCGUGUUCGGCUGGGAGGCGCAAUAAGGAGCUCUAGCUACUCUUCGGCUUCCACGGCAAUACGACGGAGGGGUUUUUUGAUGGAGCUGGAGAAUAUUGUUGCAAACACGGUUCUCCUGAAGGCAAGAGAGGGCGAUGUGGAGUGCACGUCGUAACCCAUGACGACGGCGGAUGAGGGGCUCUCCUUCCCAUUCAAGAAGUCUGGAGCUGGCAGACCACUCCGCUUCGCUGGAAACUGUGCCAUGUGAAAUCCUGAAGAAUAAACGUCGUUUAGACCCAUCUAAAUGAAGACAGAUGCAAAGGAGGAGGCUAAAGUACAGAGAGCAAAAAAAGACUGAUAGUGAAUGCAAGCCAGUGAAAGCAGAAAGAAAGAAUUGAGAGAAAAAGAAAUACUGCGUCAUAUAUAAAACAAGGAACAUUUGAGCUGCUGCUUCAGCCAGAUGCUAAAAAGUUACGUCAAGUUAAGUUGUUCUAAUGUUAAAACAGAUAAUAUAAUAGUAUUUAUAAUAG
rnacentral:lncRNA from 1 species